rnacentral:rRNA from 1 species
GAUUAUGGCUCAGAUUGAACGCUGGCGGCAGGCUUAACACAUGCAAGUCGAGCGGGGAAAGGUAGCUUGCUACUGGACCUAGCGGCGGACGGGUGAGUAAUGCUUAGGAAUCUGCCUAUUAGUGGGGGACAACAUUCCGCAAGGAAUGCUAAUACCGCAUACGCCCUACGGGGAAAGCAGGGGAUCUUCGGACCUUGCGCUAAUAGAUGAGCCUAAGUCGGAUUAGCUAGUUGGUGGGGUAAAGGCCUACCAAGGCGACGAUCUGUAGCGGGUCUGAGAGGAUGAUCCGCCACACUGGGACUGAGACACGGCCCAGACUCCUACGGGAGGCAGCAGUGGGGAAUAUUGGACAAUGGGCGGAAGCCUGAUCCAGCCAUGCCGCGUGUGUGAAGAAGGCCUUUUGGUUGUAAAGCACUUUAAGCGAGGAGGAGGCUCCUUUAGUUAAUACCUAAAGUGAGUGGACGUUACUCGCAGAAUAAGCACCGGCUAACUCUGUGCCAGCAGCGGC